rnacentral:rRNA from 1 species
GCUAUACAUGCAGUCGAGCGAACAGAUAAGGAGCUUGCUCCUUUGACGUUAGCGGCGGACGGGUGAGUAACACGUGGGUAACCUACCUAUAAGACUGGGACAACUUCGGGAAACCGGAGCUAAUACCGGAUAAUAUGUUGAACCGCAUGGUUCAAUAGUGAAAGAUGGUUUUGCUAUCACUUAUAGAUGGACCCGCGCCGUAUUAGCUAGUUGGUGAGGUAACGGCUCACCAAGGCAACGAUACGUAGCCGACCUGAGAGGGUGAUCGGCCACACUGGAACUGAGACACGGUCCAGACUCCUACGGGAGGCAGCAGUAGGGAAUCUUCCGCAAUGGGCGAAAGCCUGACGGAGCAACGCCGCGUGAGUGAUGAAGGUCUUAGGAUCGUAAAACUCUGUUAUUAGGGAAGAACAAACGUGUAAGUAACUGUGCACGUCUUGACGGUACCUAAUCAGAAAGCCACGGCUAACUACGUGCCAGCAGCCGCGGUAAUACGUAGGUGGCAAGCGUUAUCCGGAAUUAUUGGGCGUAAAGCGCGCGUAGGCGGUUUUUUAAGUCUGAUGUGAAAGCCCACGGCUCAACCGUGGAGGGUCAUUGGAAACUGGAAAACUUGAGUGCAGAAGAGGAAAGUGGAAUUCCAUGUGUAGCGGUGAAAUGCGCAGAGAUAUGGAGGAACACCAGUGGCGAAGGCGACUUUCUGGUCUGUAACUGACGCUGAUGUGCGAAAGCGUGGGGAUCAAACAGGAUUAGAUACCCUGGUAGUCCACGCCGUAAACGAUGAGUGCUAAGUGUUAGGGGGUUUCCGCCCCUUAGUGCUGCAGCUAACGCAUUAAGCACUCCGCCUGGGGAGUACGACCGCAAGGUUGAAACUCAAAGGAAUUGACGGGGACCCGCACAAGCGGUGGAGCAUGUGGUUUAAUUCUAAGCAACGCGGAAGAACCUUACCAAAUCUUGACAUCCGUUGGACAGCG